AUCGCUUCUCGGCCUUUUGGCUAAGAUCAAGUGUAGUAUGUGUAAUACAGCUGAAGUGCUCUGGUUGAAAGCCUGGAAUACCUUGUCACUGGAGAGAAUAUACUCACUGUAUAUAGUGUUUUCCUUUUGUUUCCCCAAGAUUCCUCUUUUUAAAAAACGUACUUGUAAUGUUAACACUUCUCCUGAUGAGCGCUCUAAGU